rnacentral:rRNA from 1 species
UACGAAGGGGGCUAGCGUUGCUCGGAAUCACUGGGCGUAAAGCGCACGUAGGCGGGUCUUUAAGUCGGGGGUGAAAGCCCAGGGCUCAACCCUGGAAUUGCCUUCGAUACUGUUUGGCUAGAGACCGGAAGAGGUAAGUGGAACUGCGAGUGUAGAGGUGAAAUUCGUAGAUAUUCGCAAGAACACCAGUGGCGAAGGCGGCUUACUGGUCCGGUUCUGACGCUGAGGCGCGAAAGCGUGGGGAGCAAACAGG